UACAGAGGGUGCAAGCGUUGUUCGGAAUUACUGGGCGUAAAGCGCAUGUAGGCGGCCGCCUAAGUCUGGUGUGAAAGCCCAGGGCUCAACCCUGGAAGUGCACUGGAUACUGGGUAGCUAGAGGACGAGAGAGGAUAGUGGAAUUCCUGGUGUAGGGGUGAAAUCCGUAGAUAUCAGGAGGAACAUCAGUGGCGAAGGCGGCUAUCUGGCUCGUUUCUGACGCUGAGAUGCGAAAGCGUGGGGAGCAAACAGG
rnacentral:rRNA from 1 species